UAUACAAGUGAUGAUUUUUAACCACCGUGAAUGAUGGUAUGUGAUUAUCUAUAUACAUGCACCUCCAUCUGAUGUAUA